UAGUGUGUGGGAUGCAGUCCAGCUCGGCUCCCUGCCCCGCAGCAUCCUGCCCGUGAAGACCGUGGGAGUCGGAGGCCAUGGCCCAAGUAAUUUGAGUUUCUGCCACCCUGGUGAAUGAGCUCAAUUGCAUGCACUCCAGCCCUAGCCUAGCCCAGCCACUGUGGACAUUUAAGAAGUGAACCAAGGGGCAAACAAGAAGGGAGCCAGGCCAUGCCAUGCUAAUUCAUCAUUUGUCUUCCUGCUGCAAGUCCCUAACUGCACCCCUCCCCGCAUGGAAGCUGUUAAUAUUUAAAUAACCAAGAUUGUUACA